rnacentral:rRNA from 1 species
GAUGAACGCUGGCGGUAUGCCUAACACAUGCAAGUCGUACGAGAGUUUUUUAACUCAAGUGGCGGACGGGUGAGUAACACGUGAGAAUUUACCUUUAGGAGGGGGACAACAAUUGGAAACGAUUGCUAAUACCCCAUAUGCUCUAGAGUGAGACGGAUUUUUCCGCCUAAAGAAAAGCUCGCGGCUGAUUAGCUUGUUGGUAAGGUAAUGGCUUACCAAGGCGACGAUCAGUAUCUGGUUUGAGAGGACGAUCAGACACACUGGAACUGAGACACGGUCCAGACUCCUACGGGAGGCAGCAGUGGGGAAUUUUCCGCAAUGGGCGAAAGCCUGACGGAGCAAUACCGCGUGAGGGAAGACGGCCUAUGGGUUGUAAACCUCUUUUUUCAGGGAGGAACAAAAUGACGUGUACCUGAAGAAUAAGCAUCGGCUAACUCCGUGCCAGCAGCCGCGGUAAGACGGAGGAUGCAAGUGUUAUCCGGAAUCACUGGGCGUAAAGCGUCUGUAGGUGGUUUGUUAAGUCAACUGUUAAAUCUUGAGGCUCAACUUCAAAUCAGCAGUCGAAACUAUCAGACUAGAGUAUAGUAGGGGUAAAGGGAAUUUCCAGUGGAGCGGUGAAAUGCGUAGAUAUUGGAAAGAACACCGAUGGCGAAGGCACUUUACUGGGCUAUUACUAACACUCAGAGACGAAAGCUA